rnacentral:rRNA from 1 species
GACGAACGCUGGCGGCGUGCCUAAUACAUGCAAGUCGAACGCUGAAGGAGGAGCUUGCUUCUCUGGAUGAGUUGCGCACGGGUGAGUAACGCGUAGGUAACCUGCGUGGUAGCGGGGGAUAACUAUUGGAAACGAUAGCUAAUACCGCAUAAGAGUAGAUGUCGCAUGACAUUCGCUUAAAAGGUGCAAUUGCAUCACUACCAGAUGGACCUGCGUUGUAUUAGCUAGUUGGUGAGGAAACGGCUCACCAAGGCAACUAUACAUAGCCGACCUGGGGAGGGGGUCGGCCACACUGGGAAUGGGACACGGCCCAGACUCCUACGGGGGGCAGCAGUAGGGAAUCAUCGGCAAUGGGCGGAAGUCUUACUGAGCAACGGCGCGUGGGUGAAGAAGGGUUUCGGGUCGUAAAACUCUUUUGUAAGGGAAGAACGAGGGUGAGGGUGGAAAGUUCACACUGUGACGGUACCUUACCAGAAAGGGACGGCUAACUACGUG